rnacentral:rRNA from 1 species
GACGAACGCUGGCGGCGUGCUUAACACAUGCAAGUCGAACGGAAAGGCCCUGCUUUUGUGGGGUGCUCGAGUGGCGAACGGGUGAGUAACACGUGAGUAACCUGCCCUUGACUUUGGGAUAACUUCAGGAAACUGGUGCUAAUACCGGAUAGGAGCUCCUGCUGCAUGGUGGGGGUUGGAAAGUUUCGGCGGUUGGGGAUGGACUCGCGGCUUAUCAGCUUGUUGGUGGGGUAGUGGCUUACCAAGGCUUUGACGGGUAGCCGGCCUGAGAGGGUGACAGGACACAUUGGGACUGAGAUACGGCCCAGACUCCUACGGGAGGCAGCAGUGGGGAAUAUUGCACAAUGGGCGGAAGCCUGAUGCAGCAACGCCGCGUGCGGGAUGACGGCCUUCGGGUUGUAAACCGCUUUCGCCUGUGACGAAGCGUGAGUGACGGUAAUGGGUAAAGAAGCACCGGCUAACUACGUG